rnacentral:rRNA from 1 species
UAGGCCUAACACAUGCAAGUCAUACGAGAGUUUUUAACUCAAGUGGCGGACGGGUGAGUAACACGUAAGAAUUUACCUUUAGGAGGGGGAUAACAACGAGAAAUUGUUGCUAAUACCCCAUAUGCUUUCGAGUGAAAUGGAUUUUUCCGCCUAGAGAGAAGCUUGCGCCUGAUUAGCUUGUUGGUAAGGUAAUGGCUUACCAAGGCGACGAUCAGUAUCUGGUUUGAGAGGAUGAUCAGACACACUGGAACUGAGACACGGUCCAGACUCCUACGGGAGGCAGCAGUGGGGAAUUUUCCGCAAUGGGCGAAAGCCUGACGGAGCAAUCUCGCGUGAGGGAUGACGGCCUAUGGGUUGUAAACCUCUUUUUUCAGGGAGGAAUAAAAUGACGUGUACCUGAAGAAUAAGCAUCGGCUAACUCCGUGCCAGCAGCCGCGGUAAGACGGAGGAUGCAAGUGUUAUCCGGAAUCACUGGGCGUAAAGCGUCUGUAGGUGGUUUAGUAAGUCAACUGUUAAAUCUUGGAGCUUAACUUCAAAAUCGCAGUCGAAACUGCUAGACUAGAGUAUAGUAGGGGUAAAGGGAAUUUCCAGUGGAGCGGUGAAAUGCGUAGAGAUUGGAAAGAACACCGAUGGCGAAGGCACUUUACUGGGCUAUUACUGACACUCAGAGACGAAAGCUAGGGUAGCAAAUGGGAUUAGA